GGUGACAUGGACGAGCAGUCUGAGGCGCCAGAACCGGGUAAUGCACCGAUUAUGCUCCAUCUGGUCUUCGGGGCAGGAGUUCGAAUCUCCCUGUCAUCA